rnacentral:lncRNA from 1 species
AACAUCAUCCAGGACACUUUGUAGGUUCUAUUUAGAUGAUCAGUCAACACAAGGGAAAGACUUGAGUUACUUCCAACAGGGGUCUAUUCGUCAGUCAAAACGUUAAUCUUGAAGGAGCAAAGGUUUGUUCAUGAGCUGUCACGCUCGCUAGGCGAAGCCCACGUGUUAUGCAAAAAAAAAACGAAAAAGAAAAAAAAAGACGGAAAAAAAACGGAAAACGAAAAAAUAAAUUAAAUUAAAUUAAAUAAAUAAAUAAAUAAAAAAUAAAUAAAUAAAUAUAAUAGAAAAAUCAUGGACUUGGACCUCUCUCAUUUGAGCCCACAAAGCCAUGAAAAUCAGGUUAUAA